UUCAUCAUUUCUGGAUUCUUCUUUCACACACGUCUUUUCUUUCUCUUCUCUGUCUACUCUUUCUCUUCUCUGUGUUUUUCGUUCCACUGUAUCUAGGGUUGAUUUGCAGGGUAUUCUCCUUAAGGACAUUCAAACCAAAGAGAAGAUUUCUAUAGCUAAACUCAUUGGUGGCUUGUACAUCUUAGAUUCAUCUUUGAACAUACUUACUGCAACUUUUUCCAACAAUGUUGUAAACAAUACUAGCCUAUGGCAUCUUAGAUUAGGACAUCCUUAUGAUAUUAGAUUGAAUAGUUUGAAACUCAAAUACUCAUUCAUUGUGCAUAAUCCCACAUACAUAUGUGAUGCUUGCCAUCUGCUAAACAAAGAAAAUUGUCUUUCUCUAGUACUA